AUUGAACGCUGGCGGCAUGCCUUACACAUGCAAGUCGAACGGUAACAGGUCUUCGGAUGCUGACGAGUGGCGAACGGGUGAGUAAUACAUCGGAACGUGCCCGAUCGUGGGGGAUAACGAAGCGAAAGCUUUGCUAAUACCGCAUAAGCUCUACGGAUGAAAGCAGGGGAACGCAAGGCCUUGCGCGAACGGAGCGGCCGAUGGCAGAUUAGGUAGUUGGUGGGAUAAAAGCUUACCAAGCCGACGAUCUGUAGCUGGUCUGAGAGGACGACCAGCCACACUGGGACUGAGACACGGCCCAGACUCCUACGGGAGGCAGCAGUGGGGAAUUUUGGACAAUGGGCGAAAGCCUGAUCCAGCCAUGCCGCGUGCAGGAUGAAGGCCUUCGGGUUGUAAACUGCUUUUGUACGGAACGAAAAGACUCUUUCUAAUAAAGAGGGUCCAUGACGGUACCGUAAGAAUAAGCACCGGCUAACUACGUGCCAGCCGCCGCGGUAA
rnacentral:rRNA from 1 species